GACGAACGCUGGCGGCGUGCUUAACACAUGCAAGUCGAACGGAAAGGCCCUGCUGUUGUGGGGUGCUCGAGUGGCGAACGGGUGAGUAACACGUGAGUAACCUGCCCUUGACUGUGGGAUAACUUCAGGAAACUGGGGCUAAUACCGGAUAGGAGCUCCGGCUGCAUGGUGGGGGGUGGAAAGUUUCGGCGGUUGGGGAUGGACUCGCGGCUUAUCAGCUUGUUGGUGGGGUAGUGGCUUACCAAGGCUUUGGCGGGUAGCCGGCCUGAGAGGGUGACCGGCCACCUUGGGCCUGCGGUACGGCCCAGACUCCUACGGUGGGCAGCGGGCGGGAAUAUUGCACAGUGGGCCGAAGCCUGAUGCAGCAACGCCGCGUGCGGGAUGACGGCCUUCGGGUUGUAAACCGCUUUCGCCUGUGACGAAGCGUGAGUGACGGUAAUGGGUGAAGAAGCACCGGCUAACUACGUG
rnacentral:rRNA from 1 species